CAAUAGCGUAUAUUAAAGUUGUUGCAGUUAAAAAGCUCGUAGUUGGAUUUCUGGUGGGAGCGAUCGGUCUGGCGCUUAGCGCGAGUACUUGCAUCGUCUCCGGCCAUCCUUGGGGAGAGUCUGUCUGACAUUAGGUUGUCGGGCAGAGGAUCCUCAUCGUUUACUGUGAAAAAAUUAGAGUGUUCAAAGCAGGCUUAUGCCGUUGAAUAUAUUAGCAUGGAAUAAUAAGAUAGGACUUUGGUACUAUUUUGUUGGUUUGCGCACCAAAGUAAUGAUUAAUAGGGACAGUUGGGGGUAUUCGUAUUCCGUUGUCAGAGGUGAAAUUCUUGGAUUUACGGAAGACGAACUACUGCGAAAGCAUUUACCAAGGAUGUUUUCAUUAA
rnacentral:rRNA from 1 species